rnacentral:lncRNA from 1 species
UAUUUAAUGAGUAGAACCGAUUAUUCCUAGCGUAGGUGGUAAAAGGCUUAAUGGUUGCUAUCCGAAGUUUCAAAUUCGAAUCUUAGUUGAUUCAUAUUUUCAGCUAAAUUUAUUUUUAAAUAAAAUAAACGAAACGGUUAGUAUGCUACCUAUCUCUCUCAAAAAUAAUAAUAAUAAUGAGUAAUACUAAAAACUCUCAAGUUCAAAGUCUAAAUCUCUUUUCAUC